GUGGAUUAGAUACCCGGGUAGUCCACGCUGUAAACGAUGGAUGCUAGGUGUUCGGGGAGUUGACCCCCCGAGUGCCGAAGUCAACACAUUAAGCAUCCCGCCUGGGAAGUACGGUCGCAAGACUAAAAUUCAAAGGAAUUGACGGGGGCCCGCACAAGCGGUGGAGCAUGUGGUUCAAUUCGACGCAACGCGAAGAACCUUACCUGGGCUUGACAUCUGGGGAACCCUCCUGAAAGGGAGGGGUGCCCGCAAGGGAGCCCCAAGACAGGUGCUGCACGGCCGUCGACAGCU
rnacentral:rRNA from 1 species